rnacentral:rRNA from 1 species
UAGGGAAUCUUCCACAAUGGACGCAAGUCUGAUGGAGCAACGCCGCGUGAGUGAAGAAGGUUUUCGGAUCGUAAAGCUCUGUUGUUGGUGAAGAAGGAUAGAGGCAGUAACUGGUCUUUAUUUGACGAUAAUCAACCAGAAAGUCACGGCUAACUACGUGCCAGCAGCCGCGGUAAUACGUAGGUGGCAAGCGUUGUCCGGAUUUAUUGGGCGUAAAGCGAGCGCAGGCGGAAUGAUAAGUCUGAUGUGAAAGCCCACGGCUCAACCGUGGAACUGCAUCGGAAACUGUCAUUCUUGAGUGCAGAAGAGGAGAGUGGAAUUCCAUGUGUAGCGGUGGAAUGCGUAGAUAUAUGGAAGAACACCAGUGGCGAAGGCGGCUCUCUGGUCUGCAACUGACGCUGAGGCUCGAAAGCAUGGGUAGCGAACAGG